GGACAGUUACUUGAGCCCAGGAGGUCAAAACUUUAGUGAGCUAUGAUCACAUCAUUUCACUCCAGCCUGGGCGACAGAAUGAGACCCUGUCCCUGCUCCCCCUCUCAACAAAAAGAGUCCUUAAGAACAAAAUAUACAAACAAGAAGGACAGACAUGAGGUAGGUAGAGUGAGAGUGGGAAUGAGGUAAAAGGCGGGGGGUGGGGGGGCGCUGUCUUUAGCAGGGAAUAAUUGAAGCACAAACGGCUGGUUUAUCUUUUCUUGGCCUUCAUUGUGGGUCUACUGUGGACUGCAUCUUCUGUGUAAGAUGCACUAAAGGAGCCUGCCUUUUGUCAGUUUGCACGUUGAUUUGAGACUCUUGUCCAAGAUUUCUUUCUGCAUUUUCAUUCAUUGCUUUGAAGUCAGUCUGAGUUUUAGUCUGGUCCUGCCCCUUGGGACUGCAGGAGGGGACAAAGGGGAACUCCCUGGAGUUUGAGAUUUGGGAAGAAUGUGCAGAGGGAAAAUGAGCAAAUGCCAAAUGUGCCGGCACUGCCAGCAGACGCGAGUGAGGGAUGGGGGCGCCUGAUAGCCCACAUCUCCAGGAGCAGAUUGUAAGCGUAAUCUCAAGGAUUCAUCCGCAGGGAGGAUCUGGGCAAGAACAAAAGCCCAGAAGUUUCUGUUUGUGUGGCAAGAUACAGAAACAGUGUGGGCUGAGAAGCAGAGGGGCAGGUCCUGCCUUUCGUGUAGCAAAAUGACAAUUACCCCAUCUUUCAGCAGGCUGUGCAGGAAGAGGUAAUUCGUUUAUGUUGUCUGUAAUUCUGCUGGCCUUCCCCCUACCCUGCCUCACAUCCUGGUUAGAAGGCAAAUAAGUCACUAACGUCCAGACAACCUAGUUUAAAGCUUCGAUCAUUUAAAUUGUCACUUUGGGUAGGUCCAGUAUCUGAUAAGAUUAAAAUGCUCCACCUUGCAGCCUUUAGCUCUGCCUACUUCUCACCCUAAGAUACUACUUCUCACCCCUGUCUGGGUACACAAAGAAAGAGAUGUGUGUGGGUCACACAGGACGGUGGUGGGGUGGGAGCGUCUCAGACACAUCCUCAGCAUUCUUUAUGUUCAGGGGCUUCCUGUGUCUACCUGGUGACUACUUGCCUGGCAUUCUAAGGUGGCAUAAAGGCUAUUUAAUGUGUGCUCUCUCGGCUUGACCACAGCGCAAAGCAAUACACUGAUGUGGCUUCACCGUGGCUUUCCUGUUGCUGUCUGGUUCUCUGAAACUGACAUUAGGUCCCUAUGCGGCAAUUUCUCCCUGCGGCCCUGGCUAUCUAGCCACCCUUCCCCAAGGUAAUUCUUAUCUUUCUCCCAUCAGCAUAGCUGGCUGCAUUUCUUUUUAAGGAGCAGAAGUCCUGCCUUUGCAAAAGCUGACCGUCUCAUUGCUUGAUUUCAUAACUGGGCUAAAUGUCACCAUGGGGGAAAAAAAUCUACCAUUAAGGCUACCCGUACAAAGAGACAUGAGCCCCCUGAAUUCCUCUGCAUUGACUGAUGUGUCAGAUCCAAAGUGUUUGGAGUAACCCGUUGUUCUGGCAUCCAGUGGAGAGGGCUUUCUUAGCCAGGACUGAAAGCUUGAGAGGCCUUUUAUUUCAAACCCUCUAAACUCCGUGCUCAAUGAGUAUGGAAAGUGUUGCAUGUGGAAAUCACCAGGGCGACUGGGGGAAAUGUUGCCAAAAGAGAAAGUUUCCAGUUCCUUGCUUUCAAAAGUGUGCACUGUGCCAUAUGUUGUGAGGUAAUACAGAUGCUCUGAAUGGGGGCGCCACAGCCAAGGAAAGCAAAUACAGUUCUAGUCCCUAAUCCCGGGCCAGUGCAGAACUACUAAGAAAGAGUGAAAGACCAGGCUGCUAGGAACCCAAGCAGUGCAAAAUGGAAGGAAGCUGCCCUGGGCCCAGAGCUUCAUUUUGUUUAGGAGGAGAAAAUGAGCUUGAAAGUGUCCCUGAAGCAGCAGUGUUCACAUUAACAGAUACCAUCUGGAAAUCAAAACUCAGAGUUUGUUUUUACAGAUUUGUACUGAAAACCUGCUCCAGCCAGGGAACCUCACAUCUCAGAAGUCUCCAGCAGGGCACUGAGAUGUAAACAAUCAUUUAGCAAAAUCCGGAGUCAAAAUGACAGACGAAGGCUGUUGUCUUCUCUUUAUGUAAAUCAAGAAGUGAGGUUGGAUGUGACCAAGUGCAUGGAGAUGUUACAGUUUGUAUUGAGGCAUUUGAAGUAAUUUUUUUUCUUUUUAAUUUUGCUGGGUACAUGGUAGGUGUAUAUAUUUAUGGGGUACAUCAGAUGUUUUGAUACAGCCGUGCAAUGUGUAAUAAUCACAUUGGAGUAAAUGGGGUAUCCAUCACCUCAAGCAUUUAUCAUUUCUUUCUUUCUUUUUUUUUUUUUUGAGACAGAGUCUCACUCUGUCACCCAGGCUAGAGUUCAGUGGCGCAAUCUCAGCUCACUGCAACCUCCACCUCCUGGAUUCAAGCGAUUCUCCUGCCUCAGCCUCCCUAGUAGCUGAGAUUACAGGCACCUGCCACCACGCCUGGCUAAUUUUUUGUAUUUUUAGGAGAGACAGCUUUUCACUAUGUUGGCCCAGAUGGUCUCGAACUCCUGACUUCAAGUGAUCCACCUGCCUUGGCCUCCCAAAGUGCAAGGAUUACAGGCGUGAGCCACCGCACCUGGCCGCAUUUAUGAUUUCUUUGUUACAAACAUUACAAUUAUACUCUUUUAGUUAUUCUUUAAAUGUACAAUAAAUUGUUGACUGCAGUCUUCCUGUUGUGCUAUCAAAUACUGGAUCGUAUUCAUUUCUUUUACCUAUAUUUUGUACCCAUUAAUCAUACCCACUCCCCUGCACCCUGCCUCCAAUUUAAGUAAUUUUUAACAGCCUCAGAGACAGGCAAAAUGUAUCUUCAGGACUCUUCAUUCCCCUCAAGUAUCUCGGGUCCUCAUUCUGGUCCCCUAUUUAAUCACCCUCUCUGAAUCCCCUUCCCCCGAUAUUACCUUUCCUAGGGGAUAAUGGUUCAAUGGAGGAUAAUGGUUUAAUGGGUUUUUUAGUCUCUCUCCCUAUCUACCCUCUCACCAUAUCUGUAUUUUAACCGGGCUUUCUGGUGACAAUACUGUGCCUCUAGAGGAACUGUCUGAAUUGUGGGGAUUUGAGGCAGCAACUUGGCAGGCUGUUGAGGGGAUAAGAGGGUUGCAUUUGGGGAGCGGGUAUACCUCUCAAAUCCCCAUUCUGCAGACAGUCACCUACACAUGAGCAUUCCCUGCUGAGAAGCUGGCUGGAGCUUCUUUUGGCUGCGCCUCCCAUCUCCUGCCGUAGUCUGGCAGGCAUGAGCAGGAACGUGGGCAAAAGCCUUGCUUCCCUGUUCGGAGCAGAGCAUUAACUGUUCUGUGUUGUUGGCUGAGAACAAUUAGUGCAGGUUUCUCUGGGUAACUGGGUGAAACACAGGCCCUGUGCAUAAUUCUACGUGCUCACCCCUUGCCUGCAUAUGACUAUUUUCAAACAAAUUUCCCAUCCAGAAGUGCUCAGCUUCUCAGAGAGCCCCCAUGCCUGGCUUCUUGCUCUGGCCCUCCACCGAGCUGGGACGCAGCUGGAUUGCAAUUCCAUGGCCGUCCACUUCCUGCUGCUCCACGCUGGACUGUGGUCAUCCUCGUGCUAAGGAAGGUCACGGGCUUGUUAAUUAGCUGGAAAGCAAAGACAGACAGGAUACAAAUGUUCCUAGAAAGAAACUAGCAUAGUGUGACGUCAGUACUGUUUUCAACUUUUAGCUGCUACCCUUUCCUGUUUCCUGAGGACAUUUCAACAUGACUUCGAGCACAGUUAAAGUGAACUGCCAAGGUUAAGCGAGCUUUCCUUCCUUACGGAAUCUCCCAGCCCCUAAUUCUAUAAUACUACUCGCUUAGUUUGGCUGUGGUGAAACCCACCUUGUCCUCUACUAAAGAUAUGGAACGAAGACCUCGUCAGUCAAUCUUCCAUGAUCCCGGCCACCGCAAUUGGCUCAGGUCGUUGCUGCCAUGAAGUAAGAGUCUGUCUGGAAAUGAAGGCGAGCAGAGGCCACAAAGCUGAGACAUGGAGACAGAGAGAGUCCUGAUGUUAUUAUUUGAACCAUUGAGUCCAGCUGUGCCUGAAACUCUUCAGUGAGCCAAGAAAUUCCUUUUUGGCUUAAGCCAAUUGGAGUCGUGUUUGUGAUACUUGCAAAUGAAAGGAGUUAUUGACUAAUAAAACUGCCAUUUCUAUCUCUCCAAGAAUUAGGAAAUACUUCUUUAAAACUGUUUAUUUGCAGUAUGCUUUAUUCCUUCCCACAAAAAAGAGGCAGCUUAUAAAAGUAAAUAUGAAAAAUAGGCACAAAGGGUGUAUAAUACAUGAAAUACAUGUGUAUAUGUCUAGCACAGUCUUUAUAUUAAGUUGACAAAAAUUAUUAUUAUUAUUAUUAUUUUUGCAACAGAGUUUCACUCUUGUCACCCAGGCUGGAGUUCAAUGGCAUGAUCUCGGCUCACUGCAACCUCCACCUCCUGGGUUCAAGUGAUUCUCCAGCUUCAGCCUCCCGAGUAGCUGGAAUUACAGGUGCCCGCCACCACCAGCCCAGUUAAUUUUUGUAUUUUUGGUAGAGAUGGGGUUUCACCAUGUAGGCCAGGCUGGUCUUGAAUUCCUGACCUCAGGUGAUCUGCCUACCUUGGCCUCCCAAAGUGCUGGGAUUACAGGCGUAAGUCACUGCACCUGGCCCAAAAAUUAUUUUUUAAGUUACAGUACGAACUACUGCUGAGGGUGCUGGGUAAUUAACAUUGUUGGAGAAAUUAUAAACUGGUGCAAACCUUCUGGAGAUAAAUUUGACAAUGCUUAUUCAUAUCCAUUGUUUGUCUAUAAUCAACCAUUCUUCUUUUAGGAAUGCAUCUGAAAGAAAUAAUUACAUAAAUAAGGAGAUAUGCAAAGAUUUAGCUAUGAGAAUGAUUGUUUAAUCACCAGAAGUUGGAAAACAGCCUGAAUAUCCAAUGACAUAAAAACAAAAUUGGCGGGGCGCGGUGGCUCACGCCUGUAAUCCCAGCACUUUGGGAGGCCGAGGCGGGCGGAUCACAAGGUCAGAGAUCGAGACCAUCCUGGCUAAGACGGUGAAACCCCAUCUCUACUAAAAAUCAAAAAAUUAGCCGGGCCUGGUGGCGGGUGUCUGUAGUCCCAGCUACUUGGGAGGCUGAGGCAGGAGAAUGGCCUGAACCCAGGAGGCGGAGCUGGCAGUGAGCCGAGAUGAUGCCACUGCACUCCAGCCUGGGCGACAGAGAGAGACUCUGUCUCAAAAAAAAAAAAAAAAAAUUAUCUGUCCACCAAUUGGAAUACCAUGUAUUUAUUAAAAUAAUGAUGUGGAAUUUUAUUUACUGACUUGGAACAAUAUUCAUAUAUUGUGAACUGGCUUUGGACUAAUACAUUUAAAUUCUCCCUAGGCUGACUGGGCGCGGUGGUCCGUGCCUGUAAUCCCAGCACUAUGGGAGGCUGAGACGGGUGGAUCACUUGAGAGCAGGAAUUUGAGACCAGCCUGGCCAAGAUGGUGAAACUCCAUCUCUACAAAAAUACAAAAAUUAGCCAGGCAUGGUGGCAUGCACCUGUAAUCCCAGCUACUCAGGAGGCUGAGGCAGGAGAAUCGCUUGAACCCGGGAGGUGGAGGUUGCAGUGAGCCGAGAUUGCACCACUGCACUCCACCGUGGGUGACAGAGUGAGAUGCUGUCUCAAUAAAAUAAAAUAAAACAAUUAAUUCUCCCUAGGCUGCAGCAAGAAUCGAAUGAAUCACUCUUAACCCCAUGCCAAACAAACAAACAAACAAACAAAAAAACCCUACUUGUUGGUUGUGGGCCUUAAAAAGAGAGCUGUAUAGAAGUGGCAAAAAUUAAGUUUGUGUAUCCUUGCUUGGGUCAAAUUUGGCUGUCCAUAGAUAUGAGGUUAAUUUUUUCCUGUUAGAGCAUGUGCUGGUUCUAUCUAUACAUGCUCCAAUUUUCAAAUAUUUCACUAAUAUUAGGAGAUUAUCUGUUGGCAUUGAGUUGGGUCUCAAAGUAUCAUCUAUUCUAGACCAAUGGUCACCAAAAUGUAUGUAUCCUCAAAAUAAAGCACUGGU
rnacentral:lncRNA from 1 species